UUCCAGCUCCAAUAGCGUAUAUUAAAGUUGUUGCAGUUAAAAAGCUCGUAGUUGAAUUUCGGGGUUAGUAGGUUGGUCAUGCCUCUGGUAUGUACUGAUCUCACUGAUUCCUCCUUCCUUAUGAACCGUAAUGCCAUUAAUUUGGUGUUGCGGGGAAUUUGGACUGUUACUUUGAAAAAAUUAGAGUGUUUAAAGCAGGCUAACGCUUGAAUACAUUAGCAUGGAAUAAUGAAAUAGGACGUUCGAUCUUAUUUUGUUGGUUUCUAGGAUUGACGUAAUGAUUAAUAGGGAUAGUUGGGGGCAUUAGUAUUCAAUUGUCAGAGGUGAAAUUCUUGGAUUUAUUGAAGACUAACUACUGCGAAAGCAUUUGCCAAGGAUGUUUUCAUUAAUCAAGAACGAAAGUUAGGGGAUCGAAGACGAUCAGAUACCGUCGUAGUCUUAACCAUAAACUAUGCCGACUAGGGAUCGG
rnacentral:rRNA from 1 species